CAUCUCAAAGAGGAAGUUGGGUGUGGCAGGCACUGUGUUGACAUAUCCAGUAUAGGAGUGCCCUGGGAGCCCAUCUCUCAUUUCUGAAAGAGAUAGCAUUGUAGAUCUGGACGUUUCAUCACAUAUUCCCAGGAAAGCCCAGCCAAAUGCAGCUGGCACUGUGCCAGACAUUGGGCUAGGUGCUGGGAAUUGAAAUAAUAAACUAUUUCCUGAUUUCUCUUCUCUCUUCUGGAGAAAGAAUUGGAUUAGAACAAGAUGAUACGCUGAGAACCAAAUCUACCCUGUCAGCUUACUCUUCAAGAACAAGCCAAGCAACUGAAAACUGAGUCCACGCUCAGCUAAGUCAAAGCCCAGGGGAUUACUGGCAUCACCACCCACCCCACCUGGAGCAUGACAAUGUCUGUGAGAGAAUAAGAGAUGGGUGGUGUCACCACUAUCUUUCUCUUUCUGUUCUCCAAAUCAUAAUAAUAACAGUCUCUUUUCCUCCUCUAAACAUUUUUUAUAAAGGAGGUUGAACUCA